rnacentral:tRNA from 1 species
AGUUUAGUAGUCAAUUAUGAUAUUAAGUUGCAAGCUUAAAGGUAAAUAUAAUUUUUAAACUU